AGUGGCGGACGGGUGAGUAACGCGUAAGAAUCUAACUUCAGGACGGGGACAACAGUUGGAAACGACUGCUAAUACCCGAUGUGCCGCAAGGUGAAACCUAAUUGGCCUGGAGAAGAGCUUGCGUCUGAUUAGCUAGUUGGUGGGGUAAAGGCCUACCAAGGCGACGAUCAGUAGCUGGUCUGAGAGGAUGAGCAGCCACACUGGGACUGAGACACGGCCCAGACUCCUACGGGAGGCAGCAGCGGGGAAUUUUCCGCAAUGGGCGAAAGCCUGACGGAGCAACGCCGCGUGAGGGAGGAAGGUCUUUGGAUUGUAAACCUCUUUUCUCAAGGAAGAAGUUCUGACGGUACUUGAGGAAUCAGCCUCGGCUAACUCCGUGCCAGCAGCCGCGGUAAUACGGGGGAGGCAAGCGUUAUCCGGAAUUAUUGGGCGUAAAGCGUCCGCAGGUGGUCUUCCAAGUCUGCCGUCAAAUCAGGUUGCUUAACGACCUAAAGGCGGUGGAAACUGGCAGACUAGAGAGCAGUAGGGGUAGCAGGAAUUCCCAGUGUAGCGGUGAAAUGCGUAGAGAUUGGGAAGAACAUCGGUGGCGAAAGCGUGCUACUGGGCUGUAUCUGACACUCAGGGACGAAAGCUAGGGGAGCGAAAGGGAUUAGAUACCCCUGUAGUCCUAGCCGUAAACGAUGGAUACUAGGCGUGGCUU
rnacentral:rRNA from 1 species